rnacentral:lncRNA from 14 species
GGCCGCCGCCGCCCCCUCCGCCGCGGGCACGCGCCGCCAUUUAAAGGGGACCGCGGCCCCGUUGGGCUCACCGGUCGUUCCCCCCCCCCCCUUCACCCCGGGGGUGCAGCCCUUAUGGGGACCCCCCCAUUGCGAACCCCAUCCCCUGAGCCCCCCGGUGCUACCGGUACAGCUGCCCCCCCCCCACCGGGGUGACGCUGCCGCAGCCGAGGCCAUUGGGAUCUGUGCUGCAAAAUGGUGGAGCCCCAAUGGGGGGGACAGCGGGACCAGGGUCACCCCCAUUGAGAACCGGUUUGGGGGUGCAGUUGUGUGACCCCCCCCAACUUGAGCCCAUUCCCCUCCGUAGUGCACAUGAGACCCCAAAAGUGUUUUCAACUGAUGUUUUAUUGGAAACUUUAAAUAUGGGGGGGGGAAGGCCCCAGUUUUGGGGGGCAGAGGCCCCGGUUUGGGGGGCAGAGGCCCCGGUUUUGGGGGGGCAGGCUCCGGUUUUGGGGGGGCCACGUUCAAGCAUGUUCUUCAGCCAACUUCUCUGCCUUGGCCACGGCCUCCUCAAUGGGCCCCACCAUGUAGAAGGCUUGUUCUGGGAGAUGGUCGUAUUCACCUGCGGGGAGACAGGGGGUGAAGAGGAGGAGAAGGGGGGGGGGACACCCCCAAAGCAUCUGUGUCCCCCCCUUGGCUCUCUAUGUACCUGCCAGGAUCUGCUUGAAGCCCUUGAUGGUCUCCUGCAGCGGCACCAGUUUGCCCAUGUGGCCGGUGAAGACCUCGGCCACCUGGAAGGGCUGGGAUAGGAAGCGCUGGAUCUUACGUGCUCGAGCCACCGUCAGCUUGUCCUCCUCGGAGAGCUCAUCCAUGCCCAGGAUAGCAAUGAUGUCCUGCAGGGACUUGUAGUCCUGCAGAGAGCAGAACACGGGGGGAGAGGGUGAGCGGCUCCACGUGCACCCCCCUAGCUUCCUACGGGGGGCAGCCCUGGAUCCCUCACCUGCAGGAUCUUCUGCACCCCUCGAGCCACAUCAUAGUGCUCGGGCCCCACGAUGUUGGGGUCCAUGAUGCGGGAGGUGGAGUCCAAGGGGUCCACAGCAGGGUAGAUGCCCAGCUCGGCGAUGGCGCGGGACAGAACAGUCGUGGCGUCCAAGUGGGCAAAGGUGGUGGCAGGGGCAGGGUCGGUCAAGUCGUCGGCUGGCACGUAGAUGGCCUGGGGAUGGAGGGGAUGAUGGGGAUGGAGGGGC